rnacentral:snoRNA from 1 species
GAUGCGGUGAUGAGAAGCUAACAUGUAAGAAGAACCCUAUAUGUGGGAUUCUUCAAUGAAAUGUACUUGUUACGCUUGGCUUCUGAGCUAA